AACGAACGCUGGCGGCAGGCCUAACACAUGCAAGUCGAACGCUCGUAGCAAUACGAGAGUGGCAGACGGGUGAGUAACGCGUGGGAACCUUCCCAGUGGUACGGAAUAGCCCAGGGAAACUUGGGGUAAUACCGUAUACGCCCUUACGGGGAAAGAUUUAUCGCCAUUGGAUGGGCCCGCGUAGGAUUAGCUAGUUGGUGAGGUAACGGCUCACCAAGGCGACGAUCCUUAGCUGGUCUGAGAGGAUGAUCAGCCACACUGGGACUGAGACACGGCC
rnacentral:rRNA from 1 species